rnacentral:rRNA from 1 species
UACGGAGGGUGCAAGCGUUAAUCGGAAUUACUGGGCGUAAAGCGUGCGUAGGCGGUUCGUUAAGUCUGUUGUGAAAGCCCCGGGCUCAACCUGGGAAUGGCAAUGGAUACUGGCGAGCUAGAGUGUGUCAGAGGAUGGUGGAAUUCCCGGGUGUAGCGGCGAAAUGCGUAGAGAUCGGGAGGAACAUCAGUGGCGAAGGCGGCCAUCUGGGACAACACUGACGCUGAGGCACGAAAGCGUGGGGAGCAAACAGG